ensembl:lincRNA
GGCAGAGAGGCAGGCACGGGGUUGGGGGGGGCACAGGCUCCCUGCUGAGCAGAGAGCCUGACAGGGGACUUGAUCCCAAGACCCUGAGAUUAUGACCUGAGCUGAAAGUAGAGGCUUAACCCACUGAGCCACCCAGGUGCCCCAAUAAACUAAGUCUUAAAAGAAAAUAUAAAUCUUACAUGUUGCUUUCAGUUUGAAUAGUGUUUUGUAAAUGCUAAAGCAUGCAAAUGUAAAUGAUUAUUAUGUUAUUUUGAAGGUGGUACACUCUUGAACUGUACCUUUACAAAGUUAUUCCAGUGUUUGCUUUUAAUGUUCUUGGACAACCGGGGUCAUUACUGAAAUUUUUUGAUUCUGUAUUUUUAUACUCCGUGAUUCACGGUUUAUCAGUUUUCUGAUUCUUACAACCGUCUUCUUCAAAUUCAGCUCUGAUGAACACACACCAGUGGAGGACGAUGAGCCGAAGAAAAGCACCAGUUCAGCUUCUACUUCAGAAGAAGAAAAGAAGAAGAAGAAGAAGUCUAAUCGUUCAAAAGAGAGGUCCAAGAAAAAGAGAAAGAAGAAAUCCUCUAAAAGAAAACACAAGAAGUACUCUGAUGACAGCGACAGUGACUCGGACUCUGACUCAGACUCCAGUGGUAAGAAGGCCGGCAUCGCUCUGCAAGCCUGGCUUCAAAACUCAUUUUACUUCGUAGAACUGAUUUCAGAGGAAGGUUAAGGACAGUAGCCGAGAGGUGCUGAGCGCUGGCCGUCUCGGUGCCAGGAGCCCCGCUAAGCGCUGGGUGUUCUCAGUGCUGUUCAGUCCACACGUGGCUCCAGACUACGUCUUAGAGAUGGGGAAACAGGGCGCAGAGCCGGUUGUGACACUGCACUCAGGCUCACACAGCUGAGAUCCAGACCCGAGCGCUGUGACCCCAGAUGGGUGUUGUCCAGCCGUACGGGGCACGUCGUGGCGGCAAACCGAACCGAGGCGGGGUCAGGCCGGGAGACGUGCGGCAGCAGAGCCAGCCCCAUGGGGCUGCUUCAGGCCUGGGGAGCAGCUCUCUUGUGUCGUCCUCACACUCAGCGGGCACCUCUGUGCCAUUUUCCAAAAGUGACACCGCAGAGGACCCCAUGCUGGCUGGCAGCUGAUUUAUGGAGGACACCCCUCCCCCCAGUGGCGUGGUGCCUCACAGAAAGCCACCUUUUGUGCCUUCUCCUGGCUGAUGAUUGACAGGAUGAUUGACCCCCUGCCUCUGGGGACAUUGCAUAAAGGUGUCUUUUCCCCUCAUGUCACUGGGGUUUCCUGGCUCCUGUUGUUGCUUUUCUUCCUCACUGCUGGAAGAGUAAACUACCUUUUUUUUAAAAUAAAGAUUUAUUUAUUUUGGAGAGCGUGUGCAGGUGUGCAGGUGGGAGGGAGGGGCAGACGGAGAGAAUCUGGAGCUGACCUCCCCACUGACCAUGGAGCCUGACAACAGGGCUGGAUCCCGCAGCCCAUGAAAUCGUGACCUGAGCUGAAAUGAAGAAGCAGCCGCUUAGCUGACGGGGCCACCCAGGUGCCCCUGAUGAACUUUCUGAGAGCACAGAUGUGAGCACAUCUGUCCCCUACUUAAAAGUCCUUCGGCAGCUCUCUGUCGUGUUCAGGGUGAAGUUCGGACCCUGACUGAUCCCUCUCUGAUCGCACAUGCCCUCUCUCUCUUGCAGCAUCCUCUUAGCCCGAGAACGACUGUCUCCUCAGUCUUCCAUGUUCUUUCUCUUGCUUCUGUGACUUGAUACAGAGUCCAUCUGCCUGCAGCGCCAGUCUCUCCCUGCAUACGGCUUGGCUUACUCUCUUCAACAGUGGGCAUGCAGUACUUUGGUAACAAAACUGAUUUUGUUUUAUUUUUACUUUUUGAAAAAAUUUUAUUUAUUUAUUUGACUGAGAGAGCAUGCAAACAGGGGGAGCAGCAGGCAGAGGGAGAAGCAGGCUCCUCGCUGAGCAGGGGGCCCAACAUGGAGCUCAAUUCCAGAACUCUGGGAUCAGGACCUGAGCCAAAGGCUGACACUUAACAAACUGAGCCACCCAGGUGCCCCAAAAGAAAUGAUUUUUUUUUAAGAUUUUAGUUAUUUGACAGAGAGAGUGAGUGAGCAUGAGCAGGGGGAGCAGCAGGCAGAGGCAGAGGGAGAAGCAGGCUCCCAACUAAGUAGGGGAACCCGAUGUAGGGCUCAAUCCCAGGACCCCAGGAUCAUGACCUGAGCUGAAGGCAGACACUUAACUGACCGACUGAGUCACCUAGGUGCCCUAGUAAGAUUGAUUUGUAAAAGAACUAGCUUAACAGUUACCAUUCCUGAAGCACCCUUCCCAAGCAAGCUGGCCUGAUUAUGAGACUUCUCUGUACGCCUAGAGUACCCCCAUGCUUCCCUGUAUCACUCCAGAUUCCGAUUAUUUCUUUACCUCUGUCUCCUCUAUUAGACUGAGUGUCCCUGACCCCAAACACAUAAGGUAUUUUUCUUUUCAUUAUGAAAAUACUCGGGAAAGCAAAGGGGAUAGUAUAAGUAAUACCAUAUACUUACCACUCGGGUUAGACAUUUGUUAGCAUUUUGACAUAGUUGUUUCAAAUAUGAGUUUUUUGCUAAGGUAGCCAAAGUAAAUUAUAAAUAUACAUUGAUGCUAAAUAUCUCUAUAUGCAGGUCUUUAAAAAAAAAAAAGACAUCUUCCUACUUAACUACAAUACCAUUAUCUCACCCAGUAGAUUAGCCCUGGGUGUUCUGGGCCACAGGGACACCAGAAUAACCCAUCUCCAUUUGGGUUCCAGGACACAAAUGACAUUAUAGGGUCCAUCUGAGAUUAUGAUGACAGCAUGACCCACGGCGAUGGGAGUCGUAUUUCUGAGAAUUAAGACUUUCUGAUGUCUCCAACACUUGGCCCUCCUAUUCUUAAACUAAACCUUCAGUUAGAAAAGAGGGAUUUGUUUGGUAUAUUGAAUAGUUAAUGUCUUAAUAGAAAAACACAGCAUACCAAUUUAUAUGCUAUUGAGAUUUUAAACCACAAUGGAGGAGAAGCUUUUUCAUUGUUGCUGAAAUAUCUUAGGAAAGUUCAUACUGCACUCCCUCCAUUCAGCUCACCCUUAGUGAGCGUGAACUAUGUGCCAAGCUCUGGUCUAGGCCUAUUGCUUUGUUUUUAUUCUCCCACUUUUAAUGUUCUUUUUUUUUAAAAGGUUUUAUUUAUUCAUUUGACAGAGAGAGAGAGAGAGGGAACACAAGCAGGGGGAGUGGGAGAAUGAGAUGUUCCCUUUUGAACAUCUCAUUAAGGAUGAGAUGUUUUCCUAUCUUAGGUUUCCUAUAUUAGGAAAAGAUGUUUCCCUAUCUUUUUAAAAUUUAAAUUCAAUUUAAUUAACAUACAGUGUAUUGCUAGUUUCAGAGGUAGGUUUAGUGACUCAUGACUUACACGCAACGCCCAGUGCUCGUUCCAUCAAGUGUCCUUACUGCCCCUCACCCAGUUACCCCGUCGCACUCCAUCUCCCCUGCCGGCAGCCCUCAGUUUAUUCUGUGGUUAAGAGUCUCUUGUGAUCUGUCUCCCUCUCUGUACUCCUAUACUUAUUUUUAUUUUUCCUUCCCUUCCCCAAUGUUCAUCUGUUUUGCUCUUUAAAUUACACAUAAGAGUGAAAUCAUAUGGUAUUUGUCUUUUUCUGAUUGACUUAUUUUAAUUAGCAUAAUACCUUCUAGUUUCAUCCAUGUCACUUGAAAUGGCAAGAUUUCAUUCUUCUUGCUGGUUGAAGUCAUACUCUGUUGUAUGUGUAUGCCACAUUUUCUUUCUCCAUUCGUCAGUGGACAUCUGGGCUCUUUUCGUAUUGUGGCUAUUAUGGACAUUGCUGCUAUAAACAUUGGGGUGCAGGUGCCCCUUCGGAUCACUGCAUUUGUAUUUUUGGGGAAAAUACCCAGUAGUGCGAUUGCUGAAUUGUAAUGUAGCUCUAUUUUUAACUUUGUGAGGAGCCUCCAUGCUGUUUUCCAGAGAGGCUGCACCAGCUUGCAUUCCCACCAACAGUGUAGGAGGGUUCCCCUCUCUCCACAUCCUCUCCAACAUCUGUCGUUUCCUGACUUGUUAAUUUUAGCCAUUCUGACUAGUGUGAGGUGGUAUCUCAUUGUGGGUUUGAUUUGUAUUUCCCUGAUGCCAAAUGAUGUUGA